rnacentral:rRNA from 1 species
UGCAAGUCGAGGGGUAACGGAAGUAGCUUGCUACUAGACGACGACCGGCGCACGGGUGAGUAACGCGUAUGUAAUCUGCCUUGUACAGAGGGAUAGCCCAGAGAAAUUUGGAUUAAUACCUCAUAGUAUUACUGAAUCGCAUGAUUUGGUAAUUAAAGCUCCGGCGGUACAAGAUGAACAUGCGUGACAUUAGCUAGUUGGUAAGGUAACGGCUUACCAAGGCCACGAUGUCUAGGGGUUCUGAGAGGAUGAUCCCCCACACUGGUACUGAGACACGGACCAGACUCCUACGGGAGGCAGCAGUGAGGAAUAUUGGUCAAUGGACGCAAGUCUGAACCAGCCAUCCCGCGUGAAGGAUGACUGCCCUAUGGGUUGUAAACUUCUUUUAUAUGCAAAUAAACCUACUUUCGUGAAAGUAGCUGAAGGUAGCAUAUGAAUAAACACCGGCUAACUCCGUGCCAGCAGCCGCGGUAAUACGGAGGGUGUAAGCGUUAUCCGGAUUUAU